rnacentral:rRNA from 1 species
AGAGUUUGAUCAUGGCUCAGAUUGAACGCUGGCGGAAUGCUUUACACAUGCAAGUCGAACGGCAGCACGGGAGCUUGCUCCUGGUGGCGAGUGGCGAACGGGUGAGUAAUGCGUCGGAACGUACCGAGUAAUGGGGGAUAACGCAGCGAAAGCUGUGCUAAUACCGCAUACGCCCUGAGGGGGAAAGUGGGGGAUCGCAAGACCUCACGUUAUUCGAGCGGCCGACGUCUGAUUAGCUAGUUGGUGGGGUAAAGGCUCACCAAGGCGACGAUCAGUAGCGGGUCUGAGAGGAUGAUCCGUCACACUGGAACUGAGACACGGUCCAGACUCCUACGGGAGGCAGCAGUGGGGAAUUUUGGACAAUGGGGGCAACCCUGAUCCAGCCAUUCCGCGUGAGUGAAGAAGGCCUUCGGGUUGUAAAGCUCUUUCAGCCGGAACGAAACGGUACGCACUAAUAUUGUGUGCUAAUGACGGUACCGGCAGAAGAAGCACCGGCUAACUACGUGCCAGCAGCCGCGGUAAUACGUAGGGUGCGAGCGUUAAUCGGAAUUACUGGGCGUAAAGCGUGCGCAGGCGGAUUGUUAAGCAAGAUGUGAAAUCCCCGGGCUUAACCUGGGAAUGGCAUUUCGAACUGGCAGUCUAGAGUGUGUCAGAGGGGGGUGGAAUUCCACGUGUAGCAGUGAAAUGCGUAGAUAUGUGGAGGAACACCAAUGGCGAAGGCAGCCCCCUGGGAUAACACUGACGCUCAUGUACGAAAGCGUGGGUAGCAAACAGGAUUAGAUACCCUGGUAGUCCACGCCCUAAACGAUGUCAACUGGUUGUUGGGGGAGUGAAAUCCCUUAGUAACGAAGCUAACGCGUGAAGUUGACCGCCUGGGGAGUACGGUCGCAAGAUUAAAACUCAAAUGAAUUGACGG